rnacentral:rRNA from 1 species
AGAGUUCAAGAGUACGUGAAACUGCUUAGAGGUUAAGCCCGAUGAACCUGAAUAUCCAUUAUGGAAAAUUCAACAUUAAUAUUAUGAUAUUUAUUUAUAAAUAUUAUAAAAAUGGUGUGCAAUUUUUCCAUAUAAGGACAUUGUAAUCUGUUAAUGUAAUAAAUAUUUAUCAUAAGAUUCAAUAAUAAAAAGUUUAUUCAAAUUAGUUAUUUUCGGAUUUCUAACAUAGAAUAAAUUUUAUUGAAUUUGAUAAAUCAUUGACAGAUUUAUUUAUAUAUAGUGCUUAAAUUCUUUAUUGAAUUUUACAAUAAUUUUUAAAUGUAUUUUCAUUUAUUAAUUUAUUGUAUGCACUUAUAUGAUUAACAAUGCUAUAGAUUCAGGAUACCUUCGGGACCCGUCUUGAAACACGGACCAAA